AAUCAACGCUGGCGGCGUGCCUAACACAUGCAAGUCGCACGAGAAAGGGUCUUCGGAUCUGAGUAAAGUGGCGCACGGGUGAGUAACACGUGAAUUAUCUACCUUCGAGUGGGGAAUAACUUCGGGAAACCGAGGCUAAUACCGCAUAAUAUCUACGGAUCAAAGCAGUAAUGCGCUUGAAGAGGAGUUCGCGGCAGAUUAGUUAGUUGGCGGGGUAAUGGCCCACCAAGACGAUGAUCUGUAUCCGGCCUGAGAGGGCGCACGGACCACACUGGAACUGAAACACGGUCCAGACUCCUACGGGAGGCAGCAGUGGGGAAUUUUGCGCAAUGGGGGAAACCCUGACGCAGCAACGCCGCGUGGAGGAUGAAGUCUCUUGGGACGUAAACUCCUUUCGAUAGGGAAGAUUAUGACGGUACCUAUAGAAGAAGCCCCGGCUAACUUCGUGCCAGCCGCCGCAGUAA
rnacentral:rRNA from 1 species